UUAAUGUUAGGAUAAAAAGUCUUUUGGGUUUACCCUUUGGUUUAUACAUUAAA
rnacentral:tRNA from 1 species